CCCCCCCCCAACUCUUAUUUUGUCACAAUGAUAUCAAGCGAUACCUUGUGUCUGGUUCUGCUGAACAGUACGAUAUGAUUUAAAUAUCCUGAAUCGCCCUCUAGAUGGCACUUAAAUGAGAAAAUGGGCUGAAGCCCUUAUUUAUGAACAAUCAAUGGACUGUGUAUAUAAAAACAAAUCCGGGGCUUAAAUAUUUAAUAAAGAGCCAAACCAACACAUCUUACUUUUGAGGAAUUUUCAUUUUGUCCCCCAGAACUGACAGGCGGCAAGGCGUGAUGGCAGAGCUGGUGGUGGGGAUGGUGUUGCUCAUAAUCCCAUAUCUCUGCAAACAUUGCAUUUUCAUUUUCAGAAUUUCGAGCUUGUGCUGUUGGAAGGAUCGCUAAACUUUGACUGUAAAGCAGUAAAAUGUGGGUUUUAUUUGUGGCAAAUCUGAGUCUAUUGUGCACUGUCAUCUUCACUUGCAUUCAAUUUGGCACUGCCGGUUGAGAAGGAUUGAGCUUGAUCCUUUGACCAAGAUGAGAUCUGUGUGCAGACCAUGGCCUUGCCAAACCAAACGCCCCUGCCCGGAACACUCAUAACGUCUGCGGAAAGACCCGUCUCGGACACGGAGGAGUCGUACCUUCACAUCAGCAGCAUUGCGACAGCCCUCACGCAGGCAUCCUUGGACUCAGAUCCCGUGGAACUUGCUGCUAUGAUUUACGAGUUGUCCAAGAAGCAUUUCAACAGGAAGCAUUUCCGAGGCACAGCGGUCGGGCAAGUCUCAACGCAACACAGUGCAGAUGUAAUUAAAUCGACAAAAGUUGCUGGUGUAUCUCCACUACUGGACAAUGAAAGAGCAGUGACCACAUGUCCGCCUGAGUCACCUGUGGGACCUUUAGAGGGGGAUGAUGCUAAAACCCCUCAUUCUGCGAUUCAUCAUCAGCUGGAAGAGGGGCAGCGGCCAGCUGAAUGCGAUCGUGUAACUUCAGGUGUAACAUGCACAAUGUCCCGACCAACACAAGAGGACUCAAGUGCAGUUUCACAUGCCCAAAGUGAGUGUUCAUACUCUGGGCUUUUCAGCCAUAUUUCCUUUUUCAUCUCUCCCAGCAGUUGUACAAGUUUGUGAGCAAAACAAAAGCAACGACGACGCAGAGUUACUACCGACUAUGCGCACACACGGCAACACUUAUACAGUUCUACUUUACAGACUGUGCCAGCACACAUUUACUCAAAAGCAAAGGAAAGAAGCCACUCUCAUAGACAAGGGGGCAGAUGGGCUUGUAGGCCAAUAUGCGCGCGUGACCUGAAGGAGCGGCCAGGCCCGUAAGACCGGGGGGUCCUACCCGCGUCCUCGUGACGCGUUGGCGGACGAGCCGCAGAUGUGACCACGUGGCUGUGCCCCGACUCCGUGCUCCUUGGC
ensembl:lincRNA